CAAGGAUAUUAUUCAUGCAAUGUUGUUCCUAACCAUAUUUCUUCCCAUGAUCUGAUUUGACAGCCAUCUCUGAUAGUGAAUCUGCAAAAAAAAAAAAACUGAAAAUCAUGCUUAGUCUUUAUCAGACUAGUCCAAAAAUGUGAGUCCCCAGCCUUCCACUAGACUCAUGACAAAGUUUUUUUUUUCCAAAUCAAUUGUUGCCACAUUCUUUCAGUAUUAAUUAGUUUAAAAGCCACUUAUUAGGAAUGGUGUUGUUUUUUAUACCUAUAUCAUGGAUUCCUAAACCCUGCUGAUCUCCAAACUAUCAAAGGUUUGAAUCCCUUGAUCCCAUCAUCAAUACCUGCUUACCCACGCAGCAACCAUUUCACUGCUUCACGCACCCAAGCACGGUUCCUACACAGGAGACGGAUGCAGAUGCUUGCCUUGCUGUUAUAUGUGCACUCACGUUGCUACGAACUCCAGUGCGUCACGUUGAAUGACGAUGAGGAGCUGACCGUGAAGGAUGUGGAGAGGAUCGGCGCGGCCAAGAGCGGCGGUAUUUGACUCACUGUGGAUGCAGGGUGACAAAGAUACUAGUUACUUCCUGAUGA
rnacentral:lncRNA from 1 species